GGAUCAUCAGCAUAAUAUGGAGGCAGAUCAACUCAUCCCUCUAACCAAGCGGCAUUGUAGUCUUGGAUGCUCAAUCCUCGAGGAAUGCGCGUCGGGUCAUAAGAACUCUCGGAUCUCUCGCUGAAGCUCUGGCUCUGAGAGGUGUCUUGAUAAGGAGCCCAUCCGAAUAUGCCGGCACCAAAAUCCGACCCGUAAGACCCUCCGGGCUGCGCAGGGUAGUAGCCACCGGAAGAUGACUCCGAUGCACCAUAUCCAUAGGCUGGCUGAGGCCGCGGAUAAUAGGAAGACUCGGAACUUGAUACAUCAAUGGAUCCGACUCCACAUGGGAGGUCAUCUGCAGCCGCAUCCUGGCCUCUUGAACG
rnacentral:lncRNA from 1 species